rnacentral:tRNA from 1 species
GGAGGGGUGGCCGAGCCUGGUCCAAGGCACCCGGUUGCUAACCGGGGCUCGGUUAGAAGCCGAGCCGUGGGUUCAAAUCCCGCCCCCUCCGCCA